rnacentral:rRNA from 1 species
UACAGAGGGUGCGAGCGUUAAUCGGAAUUACUGGGCGUAAAGCGUGCGCAGGCGGUUCUAUAAGACAGAUGUGAAAUCCCCGGGCUCAACCUGGGAACUGCAUUUGUGACUGUAGAGCUGGAGUGUGGCAGAGGGGGGUGGAAUUCCGCGUGUAGCAGUGAAAUGCGUAGAGAUGCGGAGGAACACCGAUGGCGAAGGCAGCCCCCUGGGCUAGCACUGACGCUCAGGCACGAAAGCGUGGGGAGCAAACAGG